rnacentral:tRNA from 1 species
GCCUGGGUGGCUCAAUGGUUGAGCAUCUGGCUUUGGCUCAGGUCGUGAUCCCGGGGUCAUGGGAUCGGUUCCCACAUCAGGCU